GUGGGGAAUUUUGGACAAUGGGCGCAAGCCUGAUCCAGCAAUGCCGCGUGCAGGAAGAAGGCCUUCGGGUUGUAAACUGCUUUUGUACGGAACGAAACGGUCCGGGUUAAUACCCUGGGCUAAUGACGGUACCGUAAGAAUAAGCACCGGCUAACUACGUGUCAGCAGCCGCGGUAAUACGUAGGGUGCAAGCGUUAAUCGGAAUUACUGGGCGUAAAGCGUGCGCAGGCGGUUUUGUAAGACAGGCGUGAAAUCCCCGGGCUCAACCUGGGAAUUGCGCUUGUGACUGCAGUGCUGGAGUGCGGCAGAGGGGGAUGGAAUUCCGCGUGUAGCAGUGAAAUGCGUAGAUAUGCGGAGGAACACCGAUGGCGAAGGCAAUCCCCUGGGCCUGCACUGACGCUCAUGCACGAAAGCGUGGGGAGCAAACAGGAUUAGAAACCCGGGUAGUCC
rnacentral:rRNA from 1 species